UACGGAGGGGGCAAGCGUUGUUCGGAAUUACUGGGCGUAAAGGGCGCGUAGGCGGCCAGUUUCGUCGGGGGUGAAAGCCCCGGGCUCAACCUGGGAGGUGCACUUGAUACGGGCUGGCUGGAAUCCGGGAGAGGAUGGUGGAAUUCCCAGUGUAGAGGUGAAAUUCGUAGAUAUUGGGAAGAACACCGAUGGCGAAGGCAGCCAUCUGGACCGGGAUUGACGCUGAGGCGCGAAAGCGUCGGGAGCAACCAGG
rnacentral:rRNA from 1 species